rnacentral:lncRNA from 1 species
AUAAAACCGCAAGUGCACGGUCUUACCGAAGUAGUAUAAAAGAGUAUCGUUCCUACAGGGAGUUAUGAAUUCAAUCAACUUUAGAUAAUGAUUAGACUAAAGGUUUAUAAGAUAGAAAAGUUUGGGUUUUUUAAUUAAAAGUAAAUAAUAAAAGAAAAGAUAAAAGUCUUGGAAUUAUUGGUUCAUCCUAAUGACAAGUCCUUCACAAACCAAACUAUUAAACUUAUAACCUUAUGUUAGACCUAAUUUCUCAAGACAGUUUCUCUUUUGUUCCUCUAGCAACCAAGCAUAUUUCGCUGACUUGAUUACUAUUAGAUUUUGGUUCCUCUAACAACCAAGCCUAUUUCGCUGACUUGAUCAUUAUUAGUUCCCUUGAAGAUCGAAACUAUAUGUCUCAAAGAUUGUAAAGACUAUUUCGCUGCCUUUACAAUCUUUGUCUAAAUUCACUUGUUCGAAUAUCAAAGCUCCACUUUCGUUUUAUGAAUUGAUAUUUGAGAUGAUGGAUAAACAAUUAUCAAACCCUCCACUUUCGUUUCCACAGUUUGAUAAUGGUUGAUCCAUGUUAAAGCGGUGAAUAUAGAUAAGGAAUUAGGGUUACAUAAGAUUAAGGUUUAAAGCUUGGUUUGAUUAGGAUUAUGUCAUUAGACUUAUCCAACAAUCCCAAGACAAGAGAAGUCUACUCACUGACGUUCAUCGUAGACAAGGAGAAGAAGAGAGAAAGCAUAAAGAUAAAUAACAAGAAAGUAAAAUGAACUUUUAUUAGAAAGACAAUUGUCACAUAUUGUAUUCCAAGAAAAGAUGAAUAUUUGUGAUGGAUGGCUACUCUAUUUAUAGCAUUUGUUUGACUUAAAAUCUAAGCUAUUACAUUCGGGCUAAAAAUAGAGUAGCUUAAAAUCUAAGUAAAAGCAGCAAAAGUGACUCUGGAGGGUGGCACGGCCGUGCCAAGGCUAGCACGGGCCGUGCCAAGCUUCUGACUUGGGGGAGACAUAUUUUUGUCUCUCAAUCUUUAUAUUUUUGCAUCCAAU